AGACUCCUCCAACGCGCCCUGCUCCUCCUCCAAGUCUGGCCCCGCCUUCCCCUCCUCCCUCUCACUUCUUCGGCACCACCCACCUCUCCACCGCGCCUUACUCCUCCUUCAACUCCGCCCCCCUCUGUCGUGCUUCUUCAGCGCCACGCACCAACAAAACAAGCAACAGGUGAACCCUCCGUCACCAACUUACUUUUCUCACCCACAACGUCGACGAUGUCGGCGACCUACCCGUCCUCGUCCGAGGCGACUCGCCUCAAAUCCAUGCUCCAGCGUAGUCUCGGAUCCAGAUGCACCCUGUGACAAUCUCGGGCUGCGCCCGCACGCGCCGCGCCACGGUCGAGGCAGUGGUCGGCCUGGAUGUCGCGCGUGCCACAACUGUGUAGGACCUGGUGCGCGGCGCUGUCGCCGCUAACGGUCGGCUCCGGCGCCUCGACGGCUUCGCGAAAGCAAAGGACAACUAGAUUUAUAUACUCUCCAUAGUAGCUCCUUUUGACAAGAAAGAAAGCAACAGAAGUGUCGUUCAUACAUGUAAAAAGAUUAAUUUGCAGCAGCAAAUUAUAAUUCCACAGGUCUGAAUUGUGUGUAUAUACAUACAUGUGAAAAAAUUAAUUUGCAAGGACAGCACCUUUUUGGGUUGAAACGCGUGGAAUAAUAGCACUGAUCCUUAGAGACUUCAUCCAACGAGGAUUACAGCUGCAACAUUCCUAAUGGUUUUAACCCACCGGCAGCGAACAGCCAUGGAAGCUUGUCAGAACCUCUGUCGCCAGCUGCAAGCCUGCAAUUGCCACGAAGCACCACAGCACCAGGGCCAAAAACGUCUUUAGACCACCACCCGAUAUACAAUUUAGGUGCUGUUUGGUUCACGAAAUGUAACGUAAAGGGUAAUAGUAAUGGUUUACACUCGAUUAUGGCCGAUAAUAAGUUUAAAUAGUCUGAUAUCAAUUUUUAGUAUGAUAUCUAAUUACGGUUGAACUAAAACAAAUAUGAUUUAACGUUAUCGUUUAUCCAUUACGUUACAAA